rnacentral:rRNA from 1 species
UACGAAGGGGGCUAGCGUUGUUCGGAAUUACUGGGCGUAAAGCGCGCGCAGGCGGUUUUCAAGUUCAGUGGUGAAAGCCCGGAAGCCUCAACUCCGGAACUGCCAUUGAAACUGUGAAACUUGAGGAUGAGAGAGGUGAGUGGAACUGCGAGUGUAGAGGUGAAAUUCGUAGAUAUUCGCAAGAACACCAGUGGCGAAGGCGGCUCACUGGCCCGAUACUGACGCUGAGGCACGAAAGCGUGGGAGCAAACAGGG